CUGAUUCAGCGGCGGACGGGUGAGUAAUGCCUAGGAAUCUGCCUGGUAGUGGGGGACAACGUCUCGAAAGGGACGCUAAUACCGCAUACGUCCUACGGGAGAAAGUGGGGGAUCUUCGGACCUCACGCUAUCAGAUGAGCCUAGGUCGGAUUAGCUAGUUGGUGAGGUAAUGGCUCACCAAGGCGACGAUCCGUAACUGGUCUGAGAGGAUGAUCAGUCACACUGGAACUGAGACACGGUCCAGACUCCUACGGGAGGCAGCAGUGGGGAAUAUUGGACAAUGGGCGAAAGCCUGAUCCAGCCAUGCCGCGUGUGUGAAGAAGGUCUUCGGAUUGUAAAGCACUUUAAGUUGGGAGGAAGGGCAGUAAAUUAAUACUUUGCUGUUUUGACGUUACCGACAGAAUAAGCACCGGCUAACUCUGUGCCA
rnacentral:rRNA from 1 species